rnacentral:rRNA from 1 species
UGAACGCUGGCGGCGUGCCUAAUACAUUCAAGUCGAGCGAACAGACGAGGAGCUUGCUCCUCUGACGUUAGCGGCGGACGGGUGAGUAACACGUGGAUAACCUACCUAUAAGACUGGGAUAACUUCUGGAAACCGGAGCUAAUACCGGAUAAUAUAUUGAACCGCAUGGUUCAAUAGUGAAAGACGGUUUUGCUGUCACUUAUAGAUGGAUCCGCGCCGCAUUAGCUAGUUGGUAAGGUAACGGCUUACCAAGGCGACGAUGCGUAGCCGACCUGAGAGGGUGAUCGGCCACACUGGAACUGAGACACGGUCCAGACUCCUACGGGAGGCAGCAGUAGGGAAUCUUCCGCAAUGGGCGAAAGCCUGACGGAGCAACGCCGCGUGAGUGAUGAAGGUCUUCGGAUCGUAAAACUCUGUUAUUAGGGAAGAACAAAUGUGUAAGUAACUAUGCACGUCUUGACGGUACCUAAUCAGAAAGCCACGGCUAACUACGUG